UGUUCCCUACGGGGGGCAGCAGUGGGGAAUAUUGCACAAUGGGGGGAACCCUGAUGCAGCGACGCCGCGUGGGUGAAGGAGUAUUUCGGUAUGUAAAGCUCUAUCGGCAGGGAAGAAAAAAAUGACAGUACCUGACUAAGAAGCCCCGGCUAACUACGUGCCAGCAGCCGCGGGAAUACGUAGGGGGCAAGCGUUAUCCGGAUUUACUGGGGGUAAAGGGAGCGUAGGCGGCCACGCAAGUCAGAAGUGAAAACCCGGGGCUCAACCCUGGGAGUGCUUUUGAAACUGUGCG
rnacentral:rRNA from 1 species